rnacentral:rRNA from 1 species
AGCGUACACGGUGGAUGCCCUGGCAGUCAGAGGCGAUGAAGGACGUGCUAAUCUGCGAUAAGCGUCGGUAAGGUGAUAUGAACCGUUAUAACCGGCGAUUUCCGAAUGGGGAAACCCAGUGUGUUUCGACACACUAUCAUUAACUGAAUCCAUAGGUUAAUGAGGCGAACCGGGGGAACUGAAACAUCUAAGUACCCCGAGGAAAAGAAAUCAACCGAGAUUCCCCCAGUAGCGGCGAGCGAACGGGGAGGAGCCCAGAGCCUGAAUCAGUGUGUGUGUUAGUGGAAGCGUCUGGAAAGGCGCGCGAUACAGGGUGACAGCCCCGUACACAAAAAUGCACAUGCUGUGAGCUCGAUGAGUAGGGCGGGACACGUGGUAUCCUGUCUGAAUAUGGGGGGACCAUCCUCCAAGGCUAAAUACUCCUGACUGACCGAUAGUGAACCAGUACCGUGAGGGAAAGGCGAAAAGAACCCCGGCGAGGGGAGUGAAAAAGAACCUGAAACCGUGUACGUACAAGCAGUGGGAGCCUCUUUAUGGGGUGACUGCGUACCUUUUGUAUAAUGGGUCAGCGACUUAUAUUCUGUAGCAAGGUUAACCGAAUAGGGGAGCCGAAGGGAAACCGAGUCUUAACUGGGCGUUAAGUUGCAGGGUAUAGACCCGAAACCCGGUGAUCUAGCCAUGGGCAGGUUGAAGGUUGGGUAACACUAACUGGAGGACCGAACCGACUAAUGUUGAAAAAUUAGCGGAUGACUUGUGGCUGGGGGUGAAAGGCCAAUCAAACCGGGAGAUAGCUGGUUCUCCCCGAAAGCUAUUUAGGUAGCGCCUCGUGAAUUCAUCUCCGGGGGUAGAGCACUGUUUCGGCAAGGGGGUCAUCCCGACUUACCAACCCGAUGCAAACUGCGAAUACCGGAGAAUGUUAUCACGGGAGACACACGGCGGGUGCUAACGUCCGUCGUGAAGAGGGAAACAACCCAGACCGCCAGCUAAGGUCCCAAAGUCAUGGUUAAGUGGGAAACGAUGUGGGAAGGCCCAGACAGCCAGGAUGUUGGCUUAGAAGCAGCCAUCAUUUAAAGAAAGCGUAAUAGCUCACUGGUCGAGUCGGCCUGCGCGGAAGAUGUAACGGGGCUAAACCAUGCACCGAAGCUGCGGCAGCGACACUAUGUGUUGUUGGGUAGGGGAGCGUUCUGUAAGCCUGCGAAGGUGUACUGUGAGGUAUGCUGGAGGUAUCAGAAGUGCGAAUGCUGACAUAAGUAACGAUAAAGCGGGUGAAAAGCCCGCUCGCCGGAAGACCAAGGGUUCCUGUCCAACGUUAAUCGGGGCAGGGUGAGUCGACCCCUAAGGCGAGGCCGAAAGGCGUAGUCGAUGGGAAACAGGUUAAUAUUCCUGUACUUGGUGUUACUGCGAAGGGGGGACGGAGAAGGCUAUGUUGGCCGGGCGACGGUUGUCCCGGUUUAAGCGUGUAGGCUGGUUUUCCAGGCAAAUCCGGAAAAUCAAGGCUGAGGCGUGAUGACGAGGCACUACGGUGCUGAAGCAACAAAUGCCCUGCUUCCAGGAAAAGCCUCUAAGCAUCAGGUAACAUCAAAUCGUACCCCAAACCGACACAGGUGGUCAGGUAGAGAAUACCAAGGCGCUUGAGAGAACUCGGGUGAAGGAACUAGGCAAAAUGGUGCCGUAACUUCGGGAGAAGGCACGCUGAUAUGUAGGUGAAGUCCCUCGCGGAUGGAGCUGAAAUCAGUCGAAGAUACCAGCUGGCUGCAACUGUUUAUUAAAAACACAGCACUGUGCAAACACGAAAGUGGACGUAUACGGUGUGACGCCUGCCCGGUGCCGGAAGGUUAAUUGAUGGGGUUAGCGGUAACGCGAAGCUCUUGAUCGAAGCCCCGGUAAACGGCGGCCGUAACUAUAACGGUCCUAAGGUAGCGAAAUUCCUUGUCGGGUAAGUUCCGACCUGCACGAAUGGCGUAAUGAUGGCCAGGCUGUCUCCACCCGAGACUCAGUGAAAUUGAACUCGCUGUGAAGAUGCAGUGUACCCGCGGCAAGACGGAAAGACCCCGUGAACCUUUACUAUAGCUUGACACUGAACAUUGAGCCUUGAUGUGUAGGAUAGGUGGGAGGCUUUGAAGUGUGGACGCCAGUCUGCAUGGAGCCGACCUUGAAAUACCACCCUUUAAUGUUUGAUGUUCUAACGUUGGCCCCUGAUCGGGGUUGCGGACAGUGUCUGGUGGGUAGUUUGACUGGGGCGGUCUCCUCCUAAAGAGUAACGGAGGAGCACGAAGGUUGGCUAAUCCUGGUCGGACAUCAGGAGGUUAGUGCAAUGGCAUAAGCCAGCUUGACUGCGAGCGUGACGGCGCGAGCAGGUGCGAAAGCAGGUCAUAGUGAUCCGGUGGUUCUGAAUGGAAGGGCCAUCGCUCAACGGAUAAAAGGUACUCCGGGGAUAACAGGCUGAUACCGCCCAAGAGUUCAUAUCGACGGCGGUGUUUGGCACCUCGAUGUCGGCUCAUCACAUCCUGGGGCUGAAGUAGGUCCCAAGGGUAUGGCUGUUCGCCAUUUAAAGUGGUACGCGAGCUGGGUUUAGAACGUCGUGAGACAGUUCGGUCCCUAUCUGCCGUGGGCGCUGGAGAACUGAGGGGGGCUGCUCCUAGUACGAGAGGACCGGAGUGGACGCAUCACUGGUGUUCGGGUUGUCAUGCCAAUGGCACUGCCCGGUAGCUAAAUGCGGAAGAGAUAAGUGCUGAAAGCAUCUAAGCACGAAACUUGCCCCGAGAUGAGUUCU